GGCUUGGUAGCUUAGUUGAUGAAGCACUCAUCUAGCAUACAAGAGUCCUGGGUUCGAAUCCCACCUGAGCAC
rnacentral:tRNA from 1 species